GGUUCCGUGGUGUAAUUGGUAGCACUCCGGACGAAUAAUCCGGCGAUCCAAGUUCAAAUCUUGGCGGGAUCC